CAGCCUAAAACAAUGACACCUAACGAGAUAACGGUCUGCAGCUCCUCUUCCUGUGCAGGAAACCCAUUCUUACUAACCACUAUUUGCAAAAUUCGUGAUUCAUUUGGAAGCCUCCCAUGCGACAGCUCCGAAAGGUUCAGAAAAGUGGCCGCUAAGGGAACAGAAUCCAACCCAGGUGACGGUCUAUAAAUUUACAACUUGCUGGAAAACACGAGCAUAACUCACCUGCCAGGCUCGAGACGUUAAUAAUCCUUCCCUUGGAUUUCCGGAGCAACGCAGCAUUUGGAUGUCACAGUGCUGAGAUCUGACAAUAUUUGUGUCAGCAUUCCAGGAAAACCCCAACUCCAAGUAAAGACGUGGAAGCAAGCAUUUUCCAAAGUUCUCUUUACUAGAAUAGGUAAACUGGCACAUCUGGGAAAACCCAAAUCUGAAAAGCCGGGGUUUUCCUUCAGUAAGUCAAAGCUCCCAAAACCAUCCCCUUUUCCACCCCGUCGGUCACAUGCUCCAAUCAACAUCUGUUCCAUCCCGAUCCAGCCCCCUGACCACUCCUUCUCCAGAUGCUGGAUCGCCCUGAUCUUGACCGACAGGAAGAAUGCUAUUAUGUCUACUAACCCCCUCUCCUAAAUCCCCCCUCCUACGGAGGCAGCAUUGGAGCCUCCGGCCUAAUAUGGCCAAGGCUGACAGGCUUCCCCCCCUGCAAAAAGAACCACCUCCUCCAGGCAAAACACAAAAGAAGGGGUUAACACCUAGCACCAAUCCCCUUAACCCCCUCUCCCCCCCCCACAGGGGGACAUUUCAGUUUCUCAGGAAAUUGCACUACCAAAGGAGGGGGUGGAGCAGUUGCCAAAGCUGACAAUUUGAUGGAUAACUGUGUGUGGUUUUUCAUUAUCUAGACUGCAAAUAUUGGGCAACGGUCAGCAGCGGGCAAUCGUCCAGCUUGUAGCCACCACCGUUGAGUUGACUACAUGCAGCUGCGUUAAGAUAGAUCUUUUAUCUCAAUUCUGUUUAUUCCAUCAGCCUCUAAAAGGAGGUAAACAUUGAUGUCAGCCUCUGAUUUUGAAAGAUGAUUAGGCUGCUCAGGCCAAUAUCAACAGGCCUUCUCCUUUCUGGACCUUUGCAAAAAAAUAAAUAAAUGUAAUGUCGGCAAGAACGAGGAUCACAGAGGGGCGGGAGAAGUGCAAUCAAAGCCAUACCUUCGUUUUGCAACUUCCGUCUUGUUUCAAGAUAAGCCUCCUUGAUUUGCACAGAACUGGUGAUAUCCAGCUGCAGGAUGGAAAGCCUUUCGGAGCAGGUCUCCUUCAGCGUUUUGGCACCGGGCCCCGUUGCGUUUAACACGCCGGCAAAGACAGUAAACCCUAAACUGUCAAGGUACUUGGCGAGCUCAUGGCCGAUUCCACUGUCGGUUCCUAUCAAAGAAGCCAUUAAAAAUAUAAGUAUA